rfam:Postia placenta Mad-698-R POSPLscaffold_16_Cont1230, whole genome shotgun sequence.
GGCGCUAUAGCCAAGUGGUUACGGCGACAGAUUAGAAUUGAAGCGUGUUUGCCUGCCGCUAUCUGUUCCUCUUUGAGGGCGCAGGUUCGAAUCCUGCUGGCGUCG